rnacentral:rRNA from 1 species
ACGGGUGAGUAAUGUCUGGGAAACUGCCUGAUGGAGGGGGAUAACUACUGGAAACGGUAGCUAAUACCGCAUGAUGUCGCAAGACCAAAGUGGGGGACCUUCGGGCCUCACGCCAUCGGAUGUGCCCAGAUGGGAUUAGCUAGUAGGUGGGGUAAUGGCUCACCUAGGCGACGAUCCCUAGCUGGUCUGAGAGGAUGACCAGCCACACUGGAACUGAGACACGGUCCAGACUCCUACGGGAGGCAGCAGUGGGGAAUAUUGCACAAUGGGCGCAAGCCUGAUGCAGCCAUGCCGCGUGUGUGAAGAAGGCCUUAGGGUUGUAAAGCACUUUCAGCGAGGAGGAAGGCGUUGUAGUUAAUAGCUGCAACGAUUGACGUUACUCGCAGAAGAAGCACCGGCUAACUCCGUGCCAGCAGCCGCGGUAAUACGGAGGGUGCAAGCGUUAAUCGGAAUUACUGGGCGUAAAGCGCACGCAGGCGGUUUGUUAAGUCAGAUGUGAAAUCCCCGAGCUUAACUUGGGAACUGCAUUUGAAACUGGCAAGCUAGAGUCUUGUAGAGGGGGGUAGAAUUCCAGGUGU